GGCGGACGGGUGAGUAAUACGUGGGAACAUGCCUUUCAGUACGGAACAACGCUUGGAAACGAGUGCUAAUACCGUAUACGCCCUUAGGGGGAAAGAUUUAUCGCUGAAAGAUUGGCCCGCGCUAGAUUAGCUAGUUGGUAAGGUAACGGCUUACCAAGGCGACGAUCUAUAGCUGGUUUGAGAGGAUGAUCAGCCACACUGGGACUGAGACACGGCCCAGACUCCUACGGGAGGCAGCAGUGGGGAAUAUUGGACAAUGGGGGCAACCCUGAUCCAGCGAUGCCGCGUGAGUGAUGAAGGCCUUAGGGUUGUAAAACUCUUUCAGGGGUGAAGAUAAUGACGGUAACCCCAGAAGAAGCUCCGGCUAACUCCGUGCCAGCAGCCGCGGUAAUACGGAGGGAGCUAGCGUUGUUCGGAAUUACUGGGCGUAAAGCGCGCGUAGGCGGCUUGGCAAGUAGAGGGUGAAAUCCCGGAGCUUAACUCCGGAACUGCCUCCUAAACUGCUGAGCUAGAAUCCUGGAGAGGUGAGUGGAAUUCCUAGUGUAGAGGUGAAAUUCGUAGAUAUUAGGAAGAACACCAGUGGCGAAGGCGACUCACUGGACAGGUAUUGACGCUGAGGUGCGAAAGCGUGGGGAGCGAACAGGAUUAGAUACCCUGGUAGUCCACGCCGUAAACGAUGGGUGCUAGGUGUUGGGUAGCUUGCUAUUCAGUGCCGAAGCUAACGCGUUAAGCACCC
rnacentral:rRNA from 1 species